AGUCAAGUUUAUAAGGGCAUACGGCGGAUGCCUAGGCGUUUCGAAACGAAGAAGGACGCGAUAAGCUGCGAUAAGCUGCGGCGAGCUGCAAGUAAGCUAUGACCCGCAGAUUUCCGAAUGGGGCAACCCGGCAAGAGUAACGUCUUGUCACCCUACCUUCGAGGUAGGGAGAAAACACCCGAUGAACUGAAACAUCUAAGUAGUCGGAGGAAAAGAAAUCAACUGUGUUCCGCUCAUGAAUAAGCUGGAUUGCAGAUGCGCAGGAUGAUUCAUCCAGAUGCGAGGAAGAGGAGUGCGUCAUAGCGGUGGCUAUGGCAAGCGACGAUGACAAAGCAGAUGGAGAAUCAGACAAGCAUAUGCGCCAGAGUAUUCAUGAGUGGAGCACCGAGAUUCCCUGAGUAGCGGCGAGCGAAACGGGAAGAGCCCAAACCUGAGGACUUCGGUUCUUGGGGGUUGCGGACCUGCAACAAGACAUAAACUUUAGUGGAAGCAUCUGGGAAGGUGCGGCAAAGAGAGUGAGACCCUCGUACACGAAAGAGUGAAAGGCGGGCAGGGAUCCAGAGUACCACAGGGCACGAGGAACCCGGUGGGAAGCAGGGUGGACCACCAUCCAAGGCUAAAUACAUCGAAGCGACCGAUAGCGAAAAGUACCGUGAGGGAAAGGUGAAAAGAACCCCGGGAGGGGAGUGCAAGAGAACCUGAAACCGUAUGUCUACAAACAGUCGGAGCACUUUACAUGUGCGACGGCGUGCCUAUUGAAGAAUGAACCGGCGAGUUAAUUUAUGCUGCGAGGUUAAGCGGGAGACGCGGAGCCGAAGCGAAAGCGAGUCUUAAGAGGGCGCAAGUAGCAUGGAUUAGACCCGAAACCACAGUGAUCUAUGCAUGUCCAGGUUGAAGCUCAGGUAAAAAUGAGUGGAGGACCGAACCCGUGCGUGUUGAAAAACGUUGGGAUGAGGUGUGCAUAGGGGUGAAAUGCCAAUCGAACGUGGAGAUAGCUGGUUCUCCCCGAAAUAGCUUUAGGGCUAGCCUCAGGCGAAUAACCAUAGAGACGGUAGAGCACUGAUCGGGCAAGGGGGCGUAAAGCCUACCGACCCCAGUCAAACUACGAAUGGCUCAUAUGGGCAGUCUGGGAGUCAGAAUGCGAGUGAUAAGACCCGUAUUCAAGAGGGAAACAGCCCAGACCGCCGGCUAAGGUCCCAAAUGCUGUGCUAAGUGGAGAAGGAUGUAGGACUUCGAAAACAACCAGGAUGUUGGCUCAGAAGCAGCCACCAUUAAAAGAGUGCGUAAUAGCUCACUGGUCGAGAGGCCCUGCGCCGAAAAUAUCCGGGGCUCAAGCACAGAACCGAAGCCGCGGCAGGGUGUACUAAGGUACACACUGGGUAGGGGAGCGUUCUUAUCUGGACGAAGGCAGACCGGAAGGACUGCUGGACGGAUAAGAAGUGAGAAUGCCGGUAUGAGUAGCGAAACGACAGGUGAGAAUCCUGUCCACCGAAAGCCUAAGGAAUCCCGGGCAACGCUCGUCGUCCCGGGGUAAGUCGGGACCUAAGCCGAGGCGAAAAGCAUAGGCGAUGGACAACUGGCGAAAAUUCCAGUACCGGGCGUCUUCGUUUGAGGAUGGAGUGACGCAGGAAGGAAGCUGAGCACGCGAUUGGAUGUGCGUGUCGAAGGCGGUAGGGUUGUAUGGAGGCAAAUCCCCAUACUAUAAGGCCGAGAACCGAUAGAUAGGAAAGACUACGGUCAAUCUGAAUUCAGCUGCACUACACUGCCAAGAAAAGCUUCUAACGAGAAGACGUCUGCCCGUACCAAAACCGACACAGGUAGGCGGGGAGAGAAUCCUAAGGUGCGCGGGAAAACCCUCGUUAAGGAACUCGGCAAAAUGCAUCCGUAACUUCGGGAAAAGGAUGGCCGCUGAUGGUGAAGACAUUUACUGUUGGAGCUGUUGGUGGCGGCAGAAAAGAGGCCCAAGCGACUGUUUACCACAAACACAGGUGCCUGCGAAAGCGCAAGCUGAAGUAUAGGUGCUGACGCCUGCCCGGUGCAGGAAGGUUAAGGAGAGUUGUUAGUCCUUGAGAUGAAGCAGCGAACUGAAGCCCCUGUAAACGGCGGCCGUAACUAUAACGGUCCUAAGGUAGCGAAAUUCCUUGUCGGGUAAGUUCCGACCCGCACGAAAGGCGUAACGAUUUGGGCACUGUCUCAACGAGGGACCCGGUGAAAUUGAAAUACCUGUGAAGAUGCAGGUUACCCGCGACUGGACAGAAAGACCCCAUGGAGCUUUACUGCAGCUUGGCAUUGGUCUUUGGCAUAUAACGUACAGGAUAGCCGGGAGACUGGGAAGUCAUAUCGCUAGAUGUGAUGGAGUCACCGUUGGGAUACCGGCCUUUAUAUGCUAAGGAUCUAACUAGUACAUUAACAGUGUAUAGGACAGUACCAGGCGGGCAGUUUGACUGGGGCGGUCGCCUCCGAAAGAGCAACGGAGGCGUCCAAAGGUUCCCUCAGCGCGGACAGAAAUCGCGCGAAGAGCAUAAAGGCAGAAGGGAGCUUGACUGCGAGACUGACGGGUCGAGCAGGUACGAAAGUAGGGCUUAGUGAUCCGGUGGAAAGAGAGUGGAAUUGCCAUCGCUCAACGGAUAAAAGCUACCCUGGGGAUAACAGGCUAAUCUCUCCCAAGAGUCCAUAUCGACGGGGAGGUUUGGCACCUCGAUGUCGGCUCAUCACAUCCUGGGGCUGAAGCAGGUCCCAAGGGUUGGGCUGUUCGCCCAUUAAAGUGGUACGUGAGCUGGGUUCAGAACGUCGUGAGACAGUUCGGUCCAUAUCCAUCGCGGGCGCAAGAUACAUGAGGGAGGCUGCUCCUAGUACGAGAGGACCGGAGUGGACGGACCAACGGUGUACCGGUUGUCCUGCCAAGGGCACGGCCGGGUAGCUGCGUCCGGAAGGGAUAAACGCUGAAAGCAUCUAAGCGUGAAGCCUGUCCCGAGAUGAAGUAUCUCAUUCCUAUAAGGAAGUAAGACCCCUUGAAGAAGACGAGGUAGAUAGGCUGGGUGUGGAAGCACAGCAAUGUGUGGAGCUGACCAGCACUAAUCGGUCGAGGGCUUGACUUACAA
rnacentral:rRNA from 1 species